GAUGAAGAACGUAGCGAAAUGCGAUAAGUAAUGCGAAUUGCAGAAUCCGUGAGUCAUCGAAUCUUUGAACGCAUAUCGCGCCCUUUGGCAUUCCGAAGGGCAUGCCUGUUCGAGCGUCAUUAUCACCCCUCAAGCCCCGGCUUGGUGUUGGGCCCCCGGUGGUCGUACCCGACCACCCGCCUCAAAGAUAGUGACGGCGUCCCAGAGGGAACCGGUACGAGGAGCUUUCACGAGCAUGUACGCGGGGACGACUCUGUGGGCGACGGUCUUUUUUAACCUUAAUAUAUCAAGUGUUGACCUCGGAUCAGGUAGGAAUACCCGCUGAACUUAAGCAUAUCAAUAAGCGGAGGA
rnacentral:misc_RNA from 1 species